GCAACGGUGGUUCAGUGGUGGAAUGCUCGCCUGCUUCGCGGGCGGCCCGGUUCGAUUUCCCGUCGAUGUA
rnacentral:tRNA from 1 species